rnacentral:lncRNA from 1 species
UCAAUGGUCGAUCACUGGUGGCCAAAGCCUUCGAGGAAGGUAGCUAAUAGGUUAGGGUUAAAGAUCUAGGGGUGUGGCACCACGGGCGACAGCGCUGGUGGUCGGAAAGAGAAAAAAUAAGGCUCGAUCAAAUAGGAAAAAAAUAGGUUCUUGGUUCAUGUGGCUUUUCUGGCGGAUCCAACGGUUGAUGGCCAUGUGCAAAAACAUAGAAAGAAGGGGA